rnacentral:tRNA from 1 species
UGCGGGAUGGCUGAAAUGUUAGGCGGAAGAUUGUAGAUCUUUUUAUGGGGAGUUCCUCUCCUGUAA